ACGAAGGGUGCAAACGUUGCUCGGAAUUAUUGGGCGUAAAGCGCACGUAGGCGGCAUUGCAAGUCGGAUGUGAAAUCUAUGGCUUAACCAUAAAAGUGCAUCCGAAACUGCAGUGCUUGAGUACUUAAGAGGAUCGCGGAAUUCCCGGUGUAGUGGUGAAAUGCGUAGAUAUCGGGAGGAACACCAGUGGCGAAGGCGACUACCUGGCCUGUUCUUGACGCUGAGGCGCGAAAGCUGGGGGAGCAAACGGGA
rnacentral:rRNA from 1 species